UUUCUAUGGCAUAUAAUCUGUCUGGAAGGAGUGUGGUGACAUCUGUCUACGGAGAGGCUCCAUGUCCAAGAGACCAGCCCCUGCCUAGAGGUAUCUGUUUCGUCUCCUCCUCAGAGGGUCCCAGGAGAGUCUAGUGACGCCUUCCUUCAAGGGUUCAAGCAAGGGAAGUCUCCGAUGCUUCAGUGAAGAGUCACCCAGCACUCACCUACUGGGCCUGAGAAAGGAGAGAAGAGGAGCCUAUGGGAUCGGGGUAGAGGCGAAGCUGAGCACAGAGCUGUGUUGUUUCAGAGGCCCCUGCCUUGGCCUUUGUGACGCAUUUCCUUAGAGCAAUGGUUCUCAACCUAUAGGAUGCCACCCCUGGGGGGGGGCGGUUGAUUGACCCUUUCAGAGGGGUUGCAUAGCACAUAUUCUGCCAAUCAGGCAUUUACAUCACGAUUCAUAACACUAGCAGAAUUACAGUUAUGAAGUUAGCCAUGAAAAUCAUUGUAUGGUUGGGAGGUCACCAUAACACGAGGAACUGUACUAAAG
rnacentral:lncRNA from 1 species